GAUCCUUAACCCACUGAGCGAGGCCAGGGAUUGAACCUGCAACCUCAUGGUUCCUAGUCGGGUUCAUUAACCACUGAACCAUGGCGGGAACUCCUCUUCACAGAAAAUAUUUUUAAACUCCAAAUGCGUUAGUUUAACCAUAUAAGAUCCUCUAAGCUAGACACUGGCUGUCUUUAUAGAGUUAUAACCUAGCCCAUGGGUAUCUUUCAAGACUUAAUCCCUAAAACUCUCUGUGAGAUGUAUUCUACAUUCUGGUCUUAUCAAAACCAUAUCUCUUCAUGAGUCAGUGCCUGUACCUGUGGUUCCAUUUGCCUGGAAUCACUGAAUCGUAACCUUUCUGAAGGCAAGUGUCAUGUUGUCUUAAGGCUAGUGUUCAGUUUCCCAGCACAGUGCUUACUGCACAGUAAGCUUUCAGUACAUAUUUAUGGAGUAAAGAAGUGGUCUUCUUUGACCUGCUCCUCCCGCCACUGAUGCAUAAUAAAGGGAUCAGAGCCAGGCUGUAGAGCCAGGGCAACUGGAAGAGUGGUAUGUAGCUUUCACAUUUGGUCUCUGCAUUUCUGUUUGGAAGUUUUACAGUGGAAAUGUAUUCAUAGUCUACUUAGGCAAAUUGAAAUACAAAGAUGAAAAAGACAUGUUUUGUUGAAAUUUUGUUUGACAGAAAGGAAAAGAUUAGCUGUUACUAUUGGACAUUAUCAUCUUUUAAUCCUCCGUUCAAACACCACCUUUCUCCUAAAGCCUCCUUGUGUUCCCCUUGGACACAGUUUGCUUCCUUCUCCUACAGUUUUACAUGUAGCUUUUUCUUGGUCGCUCUAUCUACGUACUUCACUGCAUUGCAAUUAUUUACUUAUGACUGUUUAACAUGAGGAAGAGCGCAAGGUCUACUUCGCUUUUUACUUGAAAGCUUAACUCACACCAUACAUUUGAUAAUGACUGAACAGGCACAGAACUCCUUUCUCAGAUAACUCACCACUCUGGAAAAGACCUCAACCAGAAGGUGACCCUUGAUUAAAUUCCUCAUCUGCUUCCAGUUGUUAUUCCAGUCCCCUACACAGUGAAGCAGCCCUGGCCAAGCUGUUUAAAAUGGCCUCAUCUCAGCCCCUGUCCAUCACUGUCUAUCCCUUCCCUGUUAAUAUUUUUCUCAGUAAUGCUUAUUACCAUCUAACUUGGUACACACUUAUCUCUUUAUGAAUUUACAAUUUAUUUGUAAUUAUAAAUAAUUAUAAGUAAUUUGUAAUUAUUUCUCUCUCCUUCCUAGGAUAUCAGUAUCAUAAAGCAGAGAUAGGUGUCUGUUUUGUUCAUUGCUCUAUCCCUAGAGCCUAAAACAGGCCCUAGCAUACAGAAGGUAUCCAGUUGACAUUUGUGGAACAAAUUAAUGUCAUGUACAAAAUUGUGGAGAGAUGCACAAGAGGCGGGAAGCAUGGCACGGCUCUGCUAUCCAAAAUCUAAGCCUUUUUCUUGAAUAUUGUUUUGAUAUCCAAUGAGUGCCAGUGAAUUCAAGAUAACACCCCAAAAAAGAGCUUUGAGGGGCAGUCUCUGAUAUUGACUGAUGAGUGCAGCUCUCAUCAGGAUCUUCGGUGAACCCAGUAGACAAUUAAGUGAAGGGAAGGGCGAACAUCCUCUCAUUAUAUGUAAAUAACCCACCAAGAGGCCACUCUCAGCCUCUCCUACUUGGCACUUGAGGGAGUAUCUGCCCUACAGCCUGACAUUCACCUUAAAAACUGCUUAGACCCAGCCUCCCUCAAGAAGCCUGUAAAGCCGUACCCCACAAAUCAUGGCCAAAAUGGUUUUAGCUCUAAGUAGAGUUAAUGCUGUUAAAACCGGAUAACCAUCCUAGACAGGGUACAAUCUCAACAAAGCCCUUGUAGAGCACGAGGCUUCCUCCAUGCAGUCACCAGGAUAAACGGGAUGAGAAACAGACAUGAGAUAACUAGCUGGGUGCCUGAUUGACAGCCUGGGCAGUAGACUGGGAGCGAUACCACAGGACAAUUUUCUUUUAGACCAUUCACUGAACCCCUGUUUCCCUUUGACACUAUGAAGCUAACAUGACCUAUCGCUUGCCCAGAUCAUACCCAUUUGUAGUUAAUAAAGCCAGGUUGUCUGCCUGAAAAGACCACUGGGCAUUCUUGUCUUUGGGAUGAGGAGGCUUACCCAGUUUCUCCAAAAUGCAGUCAUCACAUUGUAGACAAAGUUAAAAUGAAUGUUGGAGAGCAUCUCUCUGUUUAACCUCUCAGAAGAAUGUUUGGUGCCCCAUCCAGAGACUCUUCUGGGGACCUAGAUUCACUCCGUUUCUAUAGAACAGUUAUUACCCAGUGUAUUUGUGUGUGGUGGUGGUGGGGAUCCAUGUGGAGCUUAAAACCGGACUUGCCUCAAAACCGGUCACUAUGGAGAGCAACAGGUGUUCAGUAACGUCUACAAAACCUCAGCUGUGUUUCUCCAUAAGGUAGAAACAAAUACAUGGUGGUUAAUACAGGAUAGCCACGAUGUCGCAUUUUAAUAUGUGGGUUCAAGUCCUGGCAUUGCCACUUUACUACCUAAGUGAACUUGAGCACAUUAUUUAACCUUUUUGAAACUUUUUCUCCUUAGCUAUAUAUACAUUUGGUAAUAAUAAAACUUUAAUAUAGCUACAGGUAUGUUAAACUAUGUUUUUUUAGUUGCCAGUUUGCACUAAACAUGUCUGUGACCUGUCAGAAGGUUAAAUGAGAGAAUAUAUGUAAGACAUUUACCAUCAUGUCUGCAACACAGAUGGGUACCCAGUAACAGUUAGCUUUAAUAGUGUUUCUGUCAUGGAGAGGGCAACUAACUUUCCUUUUUUCUAGGAGUUAAACUUUUUUUUGGUGGGAAUGUGGGGUUGAGAAAGGUCCACGGACUUUUCGGAUCAUUACAGAAUCUGAUCAUUACAGCCACCUGAGUGACGUUUGGGAAUCUGAACAUAAGAGAUCAUAUUUUCUUGAUUUUAUUAACUAAGGAAUGUAGAACUACAAACUGUCCAACAUGGGACCUCUCUUCCUCAUUCCGACAGACAUGGUUAGUGCAAACUGGCAACUAAAAAAACAUAGUUUAACAUAGCUGUAGCAUGAUCUUUCCUGUUAAGCGGCAUUGAUUGCGCAUACUUAGACUUUUCAGAGAAAUAUCAGCAAAUACUCCAAACAAGAAGAAACCUCUCCAGAAUCAUACUAUUACCAAUGCACAUCCACUGCUUGAUCGUGGGGCAUCUGAGGGACUGAAAGUUUGUAACUGACUUCCAGCCACUGAGAGUUUGUUGGAAAUGAGUGCACAGCAUCCAUGAAGUCUCUCUCUGUAAUGAAAAUUUUAUGCUUCCACGUUUAAUGCAGACAAGAGCGUCCUAUUGUACCAGGAGGAUAAAGUAUGCAAGUAUGUGAAAAGAAAUUGACAAAAGAAAAGGUAGCUUUUGUUCUUCACAACACUAGAUGCAAAUUUGGAAAGACGGUUCACCUUGAGGAAGACAUAACUCACUGCUUUCCUAAUUUCUUUCCAGAGAAACAGACGAGGGAUGUAAGAUGCGACUGAAUGACUAGUGAUACCUAAUUACCCCAAGCUGAACACAUGGCCUGUCACUGAGUACUGGAAAAAUCACCAUCUUUAAUGGCUUCAGAGAGUUGAUAAAGUCCUUUAUCAGAUACACGUAGCCACACGUACAAGGUUCUUCAUGAUCUCUCACCUGCUACAUCUCCAGCCUCAUCACCUUUAUAUGUGACGAUCUGGUAAUGCUGGACUCAACUGUUUGCUAUUCCCCACAGGCACUAUGUUGUUUUAUAGCCCUGUGACAUUGCCCAGUCUCCUUUUACUGCUUGAAAGAUCCCUAUUGUCUGGCAAAUCCAUCUGGGAUUCUUCUUGAUGCAACUUGGGUGUGAUCUUCCCCAGGAAGCCUUCUGUGACCUCCCAGCCCAAGCCAAGGGUGCUUCCACAUUACUCUGUGUGGUUCUAUAUUGUGCAAGUGUUCAACAAAUAUUUAAUGAAUGAGACAGAAUAUCUUUUACCAAAGUACACCAACAUCACUGGAAUAUUUCUGCGUGUCUAUCUUCCCUUGAGACUGGGAGUGACGUCAGUGAUGAGACUGCCUUGUUCCCUGCUCUUUCUUCAGUGUCUGGCAUGGGACAGCCAUGUGACCUGAGUUUACUGACAUUAACUAUUCCAAAUGGUACUAAGCAAGGUCAUAUUUGCUCAGAGUAGUCUACCGAAAUAAUCAUAGGAUCCCUUUUGUUCAUCCUCGAUAAUUUAAGGGCUUAUGUUAGGAGUUUAGGAUUAACGUAUACACACCAUAUAUAAAAUAGAUAAUCAAGGACCUAUUUAUAGCACAGGGAAUGAUACUCAAUAUCCUGUAAUAAUCUAUAAGGGAAAAGAAUCUGAAAAAAGAUGCCUUUAAUAAUAGAUACAGUUAUUCAGUUUUAUAUACACUCGUAACUAAUACAACAUUGUAAAUAAUACAAUGAUAUACUAUAAAAAUAAGUAUUUAUAUGAAUAUGUAUAUUAUAUGAAUUUGCUGGCUUCCCCAACAGCUACCAGCAUGGGUAUCUUCUAGAUAAACAAAGUGAUUAUGUCCCAGCUACAGUGUAAGCUGACCUAGGACCACUGAAUCAAGGCCCCUGUUGUUAGAGACACCUCACAAAAAUGAGACCACAAGUAUGAUUUGUCCAGGUUCUCUUGGACUGCAUCCUAGUUCUUCCUUAACUAACACAACAGUACUCACCCUUUUCCUCUCUGAAACAUCCCUGCCCACCAACAAAUUUGAGCAUUCCUCUCUUGAAGCCCUGCCACACUGUACAUGCCUCCAUCAUAGGACUCAGCAAGUUGUAUUAAAACUACCUGUUGAAAUGUUUGAUUGCAAGCUCGCUGAGGGCAGGACUCUGUUCCAUUAAUCUUUAAAUUCCAAGAAUCUAUUCCAUGGACACAUCAACCAGUGUUUUUUGAAUGAAUGAACCAGGGGCCAUAUGUACAAUAAAUAUAGUGUUAUGAAUAGGUGUUAUAAAUAUAUAAAAGCCAAGAAAUCCACAAUAUUUGCAAAAUACAACAUAAUCUCUGACAGCAGGUCUGGGGAAGAACUCACAUGUAUUGAAUGUCUACUCUGUAGGGAGCACUGUGCUGGGUUCUAUGCACCCUGUCAAUAUUACCUGUGUCAUCUGUAUAAUAGUUGGUCAAAGUUGAUACAAUCACCUGUUUUUCAGAUAAGGGAAUAUGAGUUUGGAGAACAGGAUUAUAUAUUUGAGAAAUCCCUGGUGCCAAAUUUCCUUCUCCUGCUCUUGAGAGAUAGCUAUUUAAAGAGAGACAAAUUCAGAAUGGGAGAGAAGUCACAGAGAAAGAAGACUGAGGGACCUCUGAUUAAGGGUCCAAAGUAAUCCUCCCCAUGCAAUAAGACCUGGCUGCCCUCAGAACACAAAGUCUCAUUCCAUCCCCUAGACUGUACCUGACCAUCUCUAUGUAUCUAAGUGGAUAGCACUCACUACCAGACCCUGGAAGGCCUGUCCUGGCUAUAGUUUUCUAGGAUUGAGUGACAUCCCAGAUGCCUAAAAUUAGGAUCCUUGUCAAAGAAUCCUUUUAAAGCCAUGAUUACUCACGUGCAUUCUCUCUUUUCUUUUCCCCGAAUUUCCUGAACAUUUUAAUUUUAGCACAAUUAAUUGAUCCUGCCAACUAGAUUUCAUAGAGAUGGCCUUAUAAAACUAUUUAGCAAUAAUAAAUAUAAGGGCAGAUGACACAUUUUUAGUUUUAUAGGCUCUGGCAAUACUUUGUAUUAUAGUGUGUCAUUUCUCUGGGUAUUGUAAGCUCUUUGAGAGCAGAAACUACAUUCUGCUUAGCUAAGUAUCCCCAGCAUCUAGAACAGUAUCCUAAAUAUAAUAUAUGUAAAUAAAAGUCUGUCAUUGAA